AUUGACCAUCUAGAAUUUUAGUAUUGGACUGCGGUUGUGGUUAGAACACUCAAAAGUCACGUGAUCUUAUUCUCUCUCCAAACAACACUUAUUUUUCUUUUCAAACUUAAUUUCUCUCUCAGGGGUUAGUGCCAUAAAAGAUCAGUGCCCUCCUCUCCUUUUUGCAAAAGUUUCAUGCAAGUCUUCCUAUUUUAGUCUUUAAAGUUUUCUUUAGGUUAUCACCUCUACUUGUGGAGCUAACAUUUCCUUUACGAAUUUUGUGGUUUUUCUAUCUUUCAAGGAGGAUGAUGGCUUGCCAUUCUUUUCUUAGAUGCAAAGCUUUGUGAAGACUGGUUGUGGCAAAACCAGUACAAUAUGAUGCUUAAAGUGGUCCAGUAAAAAUCAUAUCGUUCUCUCUAGAGUUUUUCAAUUUAGCAAUGGAGGUGGUUAAACACAUAUAGUGAAGCUUCCAUUUUGUCUAGUUUCUCGAGAUCUUAUUCCUAUUAUAUAUUUCAUCUUUAAAAAUUAACUGUUUUCAACUGCCUUAUUAGCUAAUAUCUCAUCUUCAUUUAUGAAGUUUUCUUCUUUUCUUUCUUAUUAAAGAAAAAAAAAAAAGAUACGUGACAAUGCAAUUGCUUAACAUAAUUUAUUCAGUGAAAAUGUUUAUAAUUUCCUUCACUUUACAUUUGAGGCGUAAGUUUACUUUUAGAAAUAAAAAGUCUCAAAAUUGGAGUUAUUUN
rnacentral:lncRNA from 1 species